rnacentral:sRNA from 1 species
GCCUCUACCGGCGGGAUUUGAUGGCGUGAUGGUAUGUGUUGUAAUGGCGGCUGUUUCAUUGUCAUCCGCGUCGGCAUGGCUGAAUCCGAGACGCAUCGCCGCCAUCCCGUCUUGGCCGGCGCCGGGGGCUUGCUCUAGGGGCACGGGCGACCCAGCGGGGAUUUCAGUCUGGCCUAUUUUCUGUAAAGUCGAGAGGCUUGUGGAGAAGAGCGCUUGGAGGACUGGCUUUGGGCCUGCAGGUCGGCCAGAGAGAGGCCUCUCACAGAAAGUUCUCCGCUCCCAGACAUGGGUCCCUCGGCUUCCUGCCUCGGAAGCGCAGCAGCAGGCAUCGUGGGAAGGUGAAGAGCUUCCCUAAGGAUGACCCGUCCAAGCCGGUCCACCUCACAGCCUUCCUGGGAUACAAGGCUGGCAUGACUCACAUCGUGCGAGAAGUCGACAGGCCAGGAUCCA